AACGCUAGCGACAGGCUUAACACAUGCAAGUCGAGGGGCAGCAUGAACUUAGCUUGCUAAGUUUGAUGGCGACCGGCGCACGGGUGAGUAACGCGUAUGCAACUUACCUAUCAGAGGAGAAUAGCUCAUCGAAAGAUGAAUUAAUGCUCCAUAAAACAGGGGUCCCGCAUGGGAAUAUUUGUUAAAGAUUCAUCGCUGAUAGAUAGGCAUGCGUUCCAUUAGGCAGUUGGCGGGGUAACGGCCCACCAAACCGACGAUGGAUAGGGGUUCUGAGAGGAAGGUCCCCCACAUUGGUACUGAGACACGGACCAAACUCCUACGGGAGGCAGCAGUGAGGAAUAUUGGUCAAUGGCCGAGAGGCUGAACCAGCCAAGUCGCGUGAAGGAUGAAGGAUCUAUGGUUUGUAAACUUCUUUUAUACGGGAAUAAAGUGAGCCACGUGUGGUUUUUUUGUAUGUACCGUAUGAAUAAGCAUCGGCUAACUCCGUGCCAGCGGCCGCGGUAAUACGGAGGAUGCGAGCGUUAUCCGGAUUUAUUGGGUUUAAAGGGUGCGUAGGUGGUCUUUUAAGUCAGCGGUGAAAGUUUGUGGCUCAACCAUAAAAUUGCCAUUGAAACUGGGAGACUUGAGUAUGUUUGAGGUAGGCGGAAUGCGUGGUGUAGCGGUGAAAUGCAUAGAUAUCACGCAGAACUCCGAUUGCGAAGGCAGCUUGCCAAGCCAUAACUGACACUGAAGCACGAAAGCGUGGGUAUCAAACAGG
rnacentral:rRNA from 1 species